AUGGAAGCCGUGCACGGCAUACAGUCCCUGGCUUCAGGAGACGGCCAUCAUCACCUUUCCCGGACGCUUGGGCCGGCGCUGCUCAUCUCCGUCGGGUAUAUUGAUCUUGGCAAGUGGGUGGCGACGGUCGACGCCGGGACUCGGUUCGGGUACGACCUCGUGCUGCUGGUGCUCUUUUUCAACUUCUCCUCGGUUCUGUAUCAGUAUAUGUCCACCUGCAUCGGCAUGGUCACCGACAAGAAUCUCGCUCAGGUUUCCGGCCAGGAGUACAGUCGGUUUAUAUGUGGCGGCCUUGGUCUCCAGGCAGGAUUGUCUUUGCUUACUUCAGAACUAACCAUGAUUUCAGGCAUAGCAGUUGGAUUCAACCUUGUAUUUGAUCACGAUGAUCUCAUCACGGGUAUUAUUUUUGCAUGCGUUGUAAUCAAUCUGCUGCCAUUUCUUUUAUCCUCUCGGGACAAGAGGAUGUCUGGAACGUUAAAUGCCUGCAUAGCGGGCUUUACGAUUCUCUGUUUUGUGCUUGGCUUGUUAAUCAGUCAACCAGAGAUACCUCUCCAUGUGAAUGUGAUGUUCCCCAAGUUGAGUGGUGAAAGUGCUUACUCACUGAUGGCACUUAUGGGUGCAAACGUAAUAUCGCACAAUUUUUAUGUUCAUUCAUCAGUUGUUCAGGUUCAGAGGAGGUCUCAUGUUCUUACCCUCCGUACCCUGUUUCAUGACCACCUUUUUUCUAUAUUAUUCAUUUCUACUGGAGUUUUUCUUGUGAACUAUGUUCUGCUGAGCUCAGCAGCAUCGGAAUCUAGUCACAAUGUGAUCCACUCCUUUCACGAUGCUGUAGAUCUGAUGAACCAGAUAUUUACAAAUCCCAUGGCUCCACUCGUGUUACUAGCGGUUCUUCUCUUUUCGAGCCACAUUAUUUCGUUGACAGCUGUCAUCGCCAGUCAUGCAGUUAUGGAGAAUUUCUUUGGUGCAAACCUGUCUCUUUUUGCACAUCAUGUGCUACUCAAGGUUCUUGCCAUGAUUCCUACUAUGUAUUGUGCAAAAGUAGCAGGCUCUGAAGGGAUAUAUCAGGUACUCAUUCUGUGUCCGGUAAUCCAGGGCAUGACCCUGCCCUCCUCUACCAUUCCUGUUUUCCGUAUCGCCUCAUCAAGGUCAAUAAUGGGCAACUACAGGAUAUCUUUAUAUGUUGAGAUACUAGCCUUCCUUGCGUUUCUUCUUAUGUUCAGCUGGACAAACAACCUGAAAGGGAACACUGAAAGCCCUGUCAUAAUUCACCAUACUGUACUUAUUAUAAUGUCUUGUGCAUCUAUUGCUUUUACACUUUUCCUGGCUGUGACUCCAAUAAAAUCAGCCAGCAGUGAAGCUGAAACUCAGGAGUGGCAUGUGCACUCUCCGAAGGAAGCACUGGACACUACUCAUCACAGAGUAGAUACUUAUCCGGAAUAUAUUGCACACGAAGAAAUUCAAAGGUAUUCUAUUGAUGCUGUUCCAAGGGAUUCAUUGAGAAGUCAUCAGAAAUCAGCUUUGGAGGAGCAUACUGACGGUUCUGAAACCACUGCAGAAUCCGAUAACGGGGCUCAACAUAUGGCGACCAUUCCUGAGGCUGCCCCCGGAAUGUCAAGCAACAUCGAGGAGUCAAAAUCAGUUGUUGGGGCUGACUUUACAGGUUCAACGCCAAAUGUCUCUACUGCCACCGCAGUAGGACAGAGUUCAGCAGAGAAUAACCAAAUGAAGAGCACAGCUGAGAAAGAUGUUCAAGUAGAAGCAGAUGUUUGCACAGACAAGGACAAUGAGACUUCACAUAAUGUGAGCUCCAGUAAUAAGUCCACUGGAGGCAAAGCACCCUCUUUAUCUUCCGGUGAUCCACCACCCCUUGCUAUGAGCAGAUAUAAAGACACUGAUGCUGUUAGUGGCAGUGGUGGCCUCUCAAGGCAGCCUGGUUUGGGCCGUGCUGCAAGGAGACAGUUAGCAGCAAUUCUCGAUGAGUUCUGGGGGCGUUUUUUUGAUUAUCAUGGCAAGCCGACACAAGAAGGUGAUGCUGAAAGGAUCCACCUUUUGCUUGGACUGGACUUGAUAAGAGAAGGUUCAGCUGGGAGAAUGGAUAACCAGAACACUCGAGCUUCCAAGAACCCCUUAAUGAGAGAUGCAGUGCCUGGAUCAGGCAUCUCAUGGGACCCAGUGUCCUGCAAUAGGGAAAUCUCUAAUCCAGACCUGUCUUUUGGGCUUCAGAUGGGUGCCAUCGGGUCAUCAGCCGGGUCACAGAGCAUGCAUUUACCAAAAACAAACACCCCGAGUUCAAGCAGUGCCUUUCUUGACCAAAAUGCAAAAGAAAUCACGAAUUAUGAUGGGGCACCUUACUGUGAUAACCAGUUCUGUCAGCCUGCCACCAUUCAUGGUGGGUAUCAGCUAGCAAACUAUCUAAAAGGGAUAGAUGCAAGUCGGCAUUCACGUUCCAGCAUUCCACUGGACGCACGGCGACUUCCUAUAUCUUCUGAAUCUGAUGGUUCCAACUAUGCUGGCUCUGCUAUUCGUGCUUAUAGCCCGAACGUGCUUGGUUCAUUUGGUUCUACCACUUUGCAGAACCCGACAAUGAGCGGCUUAAGUACAAUGAUGGUAGGAAGAUCCUAUUAUGAUCCUACUACCAUUCUUGGGGGUGAAAGUGGUGGCUCAUCUGCUUACCCAAAGAAGUACCACAGCUCACCCGAUGUAUCUGCUGUAAUUGCUGCAAGCAGGAAUUCAUUGUUGAACAAAGCAAAUAUGGGCAGCGCUGCUGGAAAUCAGCCAUAUCUUAGUAGGCUGGCAUGUGAAAGAUCACAUAAUGUGGGCACAGCGAACAUGUCCCAGAGCUCUGUGCAGUCGAGUAUGAACACCAAACCAGCAUCACUUUGGUCCCGGCAACCAUUCGAACAGCUCUUUGGCGUGCCGAGCGCAGAGUUGAAUAAUAGGAGCCCGGUGAACACCGAGCGGAGAUCAAAUGGCACCAAGGAUGAUUUCUCAUACAAGGAAUCUGAAGCAAAGCUUCUCCAGUCUCUCAGAUUUUGCAUCAUGAAGCUCUUAAAGCUGGAAGGGUCGAGAUGGCUUUUUAGGCAGAAUGGUGGCUGUGAUGAAAAUCUAAUUGACCAAGUUGCCGCAGCUGAGAGAGUUUCACAAGAAACUGCUGAUGGCAUGGACGCUAAUUGCACGCACGGACGGCUCGGUUGUGGUGUUGAAUGUGUUUGGCAGGCUUCCCUGGUUGUUAGCUUUGGUGUCUGGUGUAUCCGUCGGGUGCUAGACCUGUCGCUUGCGGAAAGUAGGCCAGAACUUUGGGGCAAGUAUACUUAUGUUCUCAACCGUCUUCAGGGGAUCCUUGAUCCUGCAUUUUGCAAGCCUCGGAAACCCGUCACCGGGUGCCCAUGCCUCGAGAAAGCACGUCUAGUCGGCAAGCCCAUGUCCAGUAACUUCACCGCCGCAGCUGACAUCUUGCUGUUGAUCAAAGAUGUUGAGCAAGCAGUUUCUGGCCGGAGGGGUCGAAGCGGCACGGUGGCGGGAGAUAAGAGGUGUAACCGAACAUGGCCUAAAGGGAAGGAAAACCUUGCUUCUGUGCUCAAGCGAUACAAGCGCAGGCUCUCGAGCAACAAGCCGCCUGCCGGAUCAUAG
rnacentral:rRNA from 1 species